GGGACUGUAGCUUAGUGGUAGAGCGAGACGCUCAUAACGUCCAGGUCGUUGGUUCAAUCCCAACCAGUCCCACCA
rnacentral:tRNA from 1 species